rnacentral:SRP_RNA from 1 species
CCGUGCUAGACGGGGAGGUAGCGGUGCCCUGUAACCCGCAACCCGCUAUAGCGGGGUCGAAGCCUUCCUGAGGCCGUCUCUUUGUGGGGUCCGGCCGUUGCGGGCGGCGAAGAAGGUUGGGUCCGGCGCAACGUGCCCCCGUGAACCCCGCCAGGUCCGGGAGGAAGCAACGGUAAGCGGAUCGGUGCGUGUGCCGCCGGGGUGCCUGACUGGAGCAAGCUACAGCGGUAUCGCCCGGAAGGAGCGGUCGAGGGCGGGUGCACGG